AGACAAUGAUGGAAGAAUCAAUUAUGAGGAAUUCUGUACAAUGAUGAGAAGUGGAGCCAAACAACCAGGCAAGGUCUUCUAGUUCCACGAGUAUCCUUGCGGGCAAGUUGUAGAAGAGCUGUUCUUGAAAAUGUGCAGGAUGAGCUCUGUCGUUGCUUCCAUUAGUGAUGUUUAAACGUUUUCCAGUAAAAACCAUGUACAUUUCGGAUCUCCUCAGUUCAAAACAGUCUUUUAUGAGUGUUUCUGUUUGUUUUCUGCACGAUUUUUCCUCCCUUGUGUAAACUGCAUCAGUUUGGGACUAGAAAAGGCUUUGAAUUAGGCCACUCCUAGCAAAUGAUAUAUUUCAAUCGUCGAAGAUUU
rnacentral:misc_RNA from 1 species